CGGACGGGUGAGUAAUGUCUGGGAAACUGCCCGAUGGAGGGGGGUAACUACUGGAAACGGUAGCUAAUACCGCAUAACGUCGCAAGACCAAGAGGGGACCUUCGGGCCUCUUGCCAUCGGAUGUGCCCAGAUGGGAUUAGCUAGUAGGUGGGGUAACGGCUCACCUAGGCGACGAUCCCUAGCUGGUCUGAGAGGAUGACCAGCCACACUGGAACUGAGACACGGUCCAG
rnacentral:rRNA from 1 species